rnacentral:lncRNA from 1 species
GUUUCCUUCUUGAUCCUUCACAAGGGAAGAUUUUCUUUUUUAGAGGUACAGAUUCCUCUUAGUCAAGUCCUGAUUAAAACUCCAGCUAAGACAUUAGUAAGCCUUGGUUAGUGAAGUGGCAUCAGGAAGUGCCUACAUUUUCAUGGCCUGGUAGCGUUCAGUGAAAAUGUUCAUUAACAGACACAGGCCAUUCAGUCCCGAAUCCCAAGACACUGAAGACUCUGUUUGAAUCAGACUCACGGGUUCCUUCCUAGCCACUCUCAGGGACAGGAAUGCUUCUGGUGAAGAAGUUUUCGGUGGUGGUUCAUGGAGCUUCCCUACACCAACUUGGAAAUGGCAUUCAUUUUAUUGGCUUUUGUUAUCUUUUCCUUAUUUACCCUGGCUUCCAUCUACACUACUCCGGAUGACAGUAAUGAAGAGGAAGAACAUGAAAAAAAGGGAAGGGAAAAGAAAAGGAAAAAGUCUGAAAAGAAGAAAAAUUGCUCAGAGGAAGAGCACAGAAUUGAAGCUGUUGAGCUAUGAUCUCAUAGCCACCGAUAUUUCUCGCUAAGAAGACAGAGGAAGCAAUCCAUGGGAACUACUUAUCCACAGUUACACAAGAGGAGGGGAUAAUGAAGAAAGUUAAAAUCACUUACUGAUUAAACACGAUGAUAAUAACCAUUAAUGAACUCAAUACUCGGGAAAGGCUUCACAUUUCUGGGACUCAGCAUUAUCCAAAAUAUCUAUUAAGAGCCAUACACCAUUCUAGCUGCAAUUGAUUAUACAAAAAAAAAAAGACCAAAGUGGUUACAAUAAUAAAAUAGAACACAGAGAAAGAAGAAAACUACAUGUGUUACAAUUUGCUCUAAGUCCUUGUGGAAAAAGAUAUUAAAGUACAAGGAAAAGACCAUAAGUCUUGCAGGAAGUAAAAACAUGAAGAGAAAAAUGUGGAGAGACAAGUAAACUGCGUUUUUCCGCAGUCUCAGAAUUUAUCCCGCUCUGUGUAACCCAGAAGUGACUGUGAAGGCGCAACCUGUGUAUGUAGCCUGGACCCCACAUGCUCUGCUACUGAGCUUGAGUCAUUAAUCUUCUGGCCACCGAUUUUUCUCUCAAAAAUUACAUGAGCUUCCUCCAUCAAUAAAUAUCUUCAGUGCUCUAUCCAUUAAUUUCCCAUCCACUGAAUAAAGGUUACAACAACUAUUCAUGAGGUUAGGUUUGUUUAAAAAUACAGUUUACAUCAAUUAAGUGGGGUACAUUAGGGAAUUAGAAGGAGAACAGAGAAGGCAGCAGUGAGUGCUUCCAACCCAACUUCAGGGGCUGGGACAAGGUGAAAUUACAGAGAUCACAAACUGAAGAUACUAAACAGGAAUGAAAGGGGCUGGUCUCACAUGUAUCACAGCCUACCAUUUCCAGAGACACAGCUCUCAGGUUCCAAAGGGACUAGUUGACAUCAAUUGCAAGAUGGUUUUCUAGAUCCCACAGCCUUUCUCAACAACAGUUUACAAGAGAAUUAGCCAUACAAAAAAU